rnacentral:hammerhead_ribozyme from 1 species
ACUGCGCCGACGAGCCCCAAAAGGGCGAAACAGCUGUCCGCAGU